CUCUCUGUCCCUGGUGCUAAUAUAGAUAUUGAGAAGAGAUAAGUCAAUGCAGCUGCUAUAAUUGCAAUCCAAGUGAUCACCAUCAAAAUCCACAUAAAUAUUCUCCUCUUUAAAGGUAAACUACUCAUCAACAAUAAUAUGAUACUGGGUGUUGCAUUGAGUCCUGUUGUAUUAGCAGUCAAGAACUAUCCAUAACCUGUAGGAUAAUUGUGAGAAAAAGUGGAUUCUCCAGCCUCAUGAAUAUCAGAUACUAAUACGGGAUAACAGUGUGAGACAAACAUAUAAUUAUCCUACCAUACUCCACUUUAGGGGGGGUUUACUCUAACUUGAAAUGUCAUAGUUGCAAUCAAAGAAGCCACUACUAUAAAUGCACUUCGUUUUUUUCUCCAACUAAUCAUCUUUCUAUUUGAACAUAUUUUUUCUACUUUUCCUUUCCAUGUUUAGGGACAGGUCUAGGUGUUUAAAGGAAAAAUUCAAGCUUGGAUGAGUUAUAUUAUGAUUAAUUUUGACUAAUGAAUUGUUUUCGGUUGAUUCAAAUGCUCCAGCACGUUUAGGAGAUUCUUCAAUUUCUUCAUCACUCACAUGUCUUCGACUACGGAUUAGAACAUUCAUUACUAUAAUCCCACGAAGAUUCUGAGCAUUAAAUUUUGUUACAGACUCCAUAAACCAAAAGUUAACAGUCUGUAGAUAUUUCAAAAUUGGGAUAAUUGCAAGGAAGCCUCAAACCUUUGAAACUUUAGCAGACUUUCUCCCAAACCUUUGAUUUAUUAUAGUCGACCCUCUUAACUUUCCCAAAUGUUGCAUCUGAGGCCAUUUUGGAUGAUUUUUAUCUAAAAUUCCGUCAGUUGACCAAAAAGAUGAUUUUGACAACAUUUUAACAAUUUUUAAGGGAUAAAAUGGUAACUUUACAUUAAAAUAAAAAAUUUAAAAGAAAGGGGGGAAUCAAAUUGGUCUUCUUCCAUGACCCACCCCAAAUCCACCAUAUCUCACAACAAAUCCUAACCUAAAAUCAACCAAACCAAAAUCAUUUUACUCGCCUCUCAACAUCGGCGCCAAAAUAAAUUGCCGACGAAUGUCGACACCAACACCCACACAUGCACCACAAUUGGAAUGUUACCAAAGGUCGUAGGGAUCAUGUUAAGACUCGACUGAUGCCAAUUGGUUAAUUCAAUGUCGUGUCAAACAAGAAUUGAUGAGGGUGGAUCAACCUAAGAACGAAAUGGUGUAAUAUUGGUUAAUUUUAGGCCAUAAUUUUGAUAGUCUGGAUGAGAGUUACUUGUCGGUGGUGGUACGCGACCGCGGGAAUAGCCUGAGAUGGGUUUUCAGGUAGAUUUUUAGCCAAUUUUUAUUAUUUAUUUAUUUAUUGGAAAAAUGAAUAUGAGUGCUGGCAGUGGUGGCGAUUACAAUUGUGGUGCAUGUAUGGGUGUUGGUGUCAACAUACGUUGACAAUUUAUUUUGGCGUCAAUGGUGAAGGACGAGCAAAAUGAUUUUGGUUUGGUUGAUUUUGGGUUAGGAUUUGUUGUAAGAUGGGGUGGAUUUGAGGUGGGUUAGGGAAGAUGACCAAUUUUAUUUUCCCUUUUUUUAAUUUUUAUUUUAGUUUAAACUUGCCAUUUUUCCCAUUUAAAAAUUGUUAAAAUGUGGUCAAAACAUCUGUUUUGGUCAACUGACGAAAUUUUGGAUGAAAAUCGGCCAAAAGGGCCUUAGAUGCAACGUUCGAAAAGGUAAAUAGUGACAGCUGCAACAAAUAAAAGGCUUGGAAAAAGCAUGCUAGUGUUUCAAAUGUUUGGGACUUCUACUGCAGUUAUCCCAUAAAAACAUCUUGGUAUGAUACGCAAUUAGGAAUAAGAAAUACAAUAAUGUUUAAAAAGAAUCAUUAUUUAUCUUUUCGGUUUGCUAUAAUGCUGAGUCUUCGUGCGAUCACUCAACUCGUACACCCUCAAGGUCACUACUAUCCAUGUAUUAAAAGAAAGUAGGUUAAACGACUACAAAAUUGUAAUCAUUUCUAGUAGCCAAAGUUUUUAAGCAAGAUGACUGAACACACGUUGAGACAUUGCAUACUAUUAAAAAAUUAGCAUAAGAAUAUAUUUGUGUAUUACACAGACCUUAUCUGAUAAGAAAUAAUCGAAACAAAAUUACAACACAAUCGUACAUUAAAUAUUUGUAGUGCAAAUGUUUAAGGCAUUUUUCUAUUCAUAGUAUUGAGCAUAAUCAUACACUAGAAUAAACAAAAGUACCGCUUAAUAUUGCACUCUUCAACUGACUAGACAUAACAUAACAACACCUUAAACAGUGAUAUGAUUUAUUCCCGAACCCUUAAUCCUUUUAUCGGGCUCGAACAUUUUUUAACUUUCAUACCAUCUUGAUUAUCAACCGAAUCGUGUGUCCAAUGAGUAAGAGAACCAUGAUGCCAAGCCAUAUCAAAACCAAUAAUCCUGACCAUUUCAUCUAUAUGUCCCUAGUGUUAAUACAGAUAUUGAGAAGAGAUAAGUUAAUGCAACAGCUGUAAUUGAAAUCCAAGUGAUCACCAUCAAAAUCCAUAUAAAUAUUUUCCUCCUUACAUUAAAAUAAAAAAUUUUAAAAAAUGGGGAAAAUAAAAUUGGUCUUCUUCCCUAACCUACCCAAUUUCACAACAAAUCCAAACCCAAAAUCAACCAAACCAGAAUCAUUUUACUCGUCUCUCACCAUCGGAGCUAAAAUAAAUUGCCGACGGAUGUCGACACCAAGACGCACACAAGCUCCAUAACUGGAAUGUUACCAACGGCCAUAGGGAUCAGAUUAAAACUCAAUUGAUGCCAAUUGUUGAGUCAAUGUCGUGUCAAACAAGAAUUGAUGAGGGGAGAUUUGAGUUCGCGACUGUUAGAUCCGUUAGAUCAACCUUAGAACGAAAUGGUGCAUUAUUGGUUGAUAUUAGGCCAUAAUCUUGAUUGUCUGGAUGAGAGUUAUCUGUCGGUGGUGGUACGCAAUGGUGGGCAUCGCCUGAAAUGGGUUUUCUAUAGAUUUUUAGCCAAUUUUUAUAUUUAUUUAUUUAUUGGAAAGACGAAUAUGAAUGCUGGCAGUGGUGGCAAUUACAAUUGUGGUGCAUGUGCGGGUGUUGGUGUCGACAUCUGUCUGCAAUCUAUUUUGGCGCCGAUGGUGAGAGAUGAGCAAAAUGAUUUUUCUUUGGUUGAUUUUGGGUUAGGAUUUGUUGUGAGAUGGCAUGGAUUUGGGGUGGGUUAGGGAAGAAGACCAAUUUAUUUUCUCUUUUUUUAGUUUUUUUUAUUUUAGCGUAAAGUUACCAUUUCGCCCCUUUAAAAAUUGUUAAAAUGUGGUCAAAAAUAAUUUUUUUUGGUCAACUAACGGAAUUUUGGAUGUAAACCGACCAAAUAUUUUUUAACUUUCAUACCAUCUUGAUUAUCAACCGAAUCGUGUGUCCAAUGAGUAGGAGGACCAUGAUGCCUAGCCACAUCAAAACUGAUAACCCUAACCGUUUUCCUCUCUCUGUCCCUUGUGCUAAUACAAAUGUUGAGAAGAGAUAAGUUGAUGCAACUAUAGUAAUUGCAAUCCAAGUGAUACCAUCAAAAUCCACAUAAAUAUUCAAGUUCACGACUGUCAAAUCCGUUAGAUCAACCUUAGAACGAAAUGGUGCAUUAUUGGUUGAUAUUAGGCCAUAAUCUUGAUUGUCUGGAUGAGAGCUAUCUGUCGAUGGUGGUACGCAAUGGUGGGCAUCGCCUGAAAUGGGUUUUCUAUAGAUUUUUAGCCAAUUUUUAUAUUUAUUUAUUUAUUGGAAAGACGAAUAUGAAUGCUGGCAGUGGUGGCGAUUACAAUAGUGGUGCAUGUGCGGGUGUUGGUGUCGACAUCUGUCUACAAUCUAUUUUGGCGCCGAUGGUGAGAGAUGAGCAAAAUGAUUUUUGUUUGGUUGAUUUUAGGUUAUGAUUUGCUGUGAGAUGGCAUGGAUUUGGGGUGGGUUAGGGAAGAAGACCAAUUUAUUUUCUCUUUUUUAAUUUUUUUAUUUUAGUGUAAAGUUACCAUUUUGCCCCUUUAAAAAUUAUUAAAAUGUGGUCAAAAAUAUUUUUUUGGUCAACUAACGGAAUUUUGGAUGAAAACCGGCCAAAUAUUUUUUAACUUUCAUACCAUCUUGAUUAUCAACCGAAUCGUGUGUCAAUGAGUAGGAGAACCAUGAUGCCAAGCCACAUCAAAACUGAUAACCCUAACCAUUUUCCUCUCUCUGUCCCUGGUGCUAAUACAGAUGUUGAGAAGAGAUAAGUCGAUGCAAUUGUAGUAAUUGCAAUCCAAGUGAUACCAUCAAAAUCCACAUAAAUAUUCUCCUCUUCAAAGGUAAACUACUCUUCAACAAUAAUAUGAUACUGGGUGAUGCAAUGAGUCCUAAUGUAUUAGCAAUCAAGAACUGUCCACAACCUGUCGGAUAAUUGUGUGCGAAAGUGGAUUCUCCAGCCCUGUGAGUAUCAGAUACUGAUAUGGGAUAACCGUGUGAAAAAAACAUAUAAUUAUCCGACCAUACUCCACUUGGGGGGUUGACUCCAACUUGAAGUGCCAUAUUGCAAUCAAAGAAGCCACUACUAUGAAUGCACUUUGUUUUUUCUCCAACUAAUCAUCUUUCUAUUUGAACAUACUUUUUCUACUUUUCCUUUUCAUGUUUGGGGACAGGUCUAGGGGACAAGUCUAGGUAUUCAAAGGAAAAAUUCAAGCUUUGACGAGUUAUAUUAUGAUUAAUUUUGAUUAAUGAAUUGUUUUCCCUUGAUUCAAAUGCUCCAGUACGUUUAGGAGAUGCUUCAAUUUCUUCAUCACUCACAUGUCUUCGACUACAGAUUAGAACAUCCAUUGCUGUCAUCCCACAAAGAUUUUGAGCACUAAAUUUUGUUAUAGACUUCAUAAGCCAAAAGUUAACUGUCUGUAGAUAUUUUAAAAUUGGGAUAAUUGCAACAGAAGCCUCAAACCUUUUGAAACUUUAGCAGACUUUCUCCUAAACUUUGAUUUAUUGUAGUUGUCAUCUCCUAACUUUCCCAAAUGUUGCAUUUGAGGCCCUUUUGGAUGAUUUUUAUCUAAAAUUCUGUCAGUUGACCAAAAAAAUGAUUUUGACAACAUUUUAACAAUUUCUAAGGGACAAAAUGGUAACUUUACAUUAAAAUAAAAAAUUAAAAAAGGGAAAAAAUUGGUCUUCUUCCCUAACGCAUCCUAAAUCCACCCCAUUUCACAACAAAUCCUAACCCAAAAUCAACCAAACCAAAAUCAUUUUACUCGUCUCUCACCAUCGGCGCCAAAAUAAAUUGCCGACGGAUGUCGACACCAACAACCACACAUGUACCACAAUUAGAAUGUUACCAAAGGCCGUAGGGAUCAGAUUAAGACUCAACUGAUGCCAAUUGUGCCGUGUCAAAUAAGAAUUGAUGAGGGGAGAUUCGAGUUUGCGACUGUCAAAUCCGUUAGAUCAACCUCAUAACGAAAUGGUGCAUUAUUGGUUAAUUUUAGGCCAUAAUCUUGAUUGUCUGGAUGAGAGCUACCUGUCGGUGGUGGUACGCGACUAUGGGCGUUGCCCGAGAUGGGUUGUCAAGUAGAUUUUUAGCCAAUUAUUAUUAUUUAUUUAUUAUUGGAAAAAUGAAUAUGAGUGCUGAUGGUGGUGGAGAUUACAAUUGUGGUGCAUGUGCGGGUGUUAGUGUCGACAUCCGUCGACAAUUUAUUUUGGCGUCAAUGGUAAGAGAUGAGCAAAAUGAUUUUGGUUUGGUUGAUUUUGGGUUAGGAUUUGUUGUGAGAUGGGGUGGAUUUGAGGUGGGUUAGGGAAGAAGACCAAUUUUAUUUUUCCUUUUUUAAAAAUUUUUAAUUUUAGUGUAAACUUACCAUUUUCCCAUUUAAAAAUUGUUAAAAUGUGGUAAAAAAUAUUUUCUUAGUCAACUGACGGAAUUUUGGAUGAAAAUCGACCAAAAGGGUGGCCUCAGAUGCAACGUUCGAAAUGGUUAAGAGUGAUAACUACAACAAAUCAAAGGUUUGGGAAAAAUCUGCUGGUGUUUCAAAGGUUUGGAGCUUCUACUACAAUUAUCCUAUAAAAACAUCUUGGUAUGAUACGCAAUUAGGAAUAAGAAAUAUAAUAAUGUUUAAAUAAAAAUCAUUAUUUAUCUUUUCGGUUCACUAUAAUGUUGAGUCUUCGUGCGAUCGCUCAACUCGUGCACUCUCAAGGCCCAUGUAAUAAAAGAAAGUAGGUUAAAUGACUACAAAUUGUAAUCAUUUCUAGUAGCCAAAAUUUUUAAGCAAGAUGACUGAAUACACACUGAGACAUUGUAUACUAUUAAAAAAUUAGCAUAAGAAUAUAUUUGUGUAUUACACAGACCUUAUCUGAUAAGAAAUAAUCGAAACAAAAUUACGACAUAGUUGUACAUUAAAUAUUUGUAGUGCAAAUGUUUGAGGCAUUUUUCUAUUCAUAGUAUUGAGCAUGAUCAGACUCUUGAAUAAACAAUAGUACCAUUUAAUAUUGCACUCUUCAAUUGACUAGACAUAACAUAACAACACCUUAAAUAGUGAUAUGACUUAUUUGGAAACCCUUAAUCCUUUUAUCGGACUCAAACAUUUUUUAAUUUUCAUACCAUCUUGAUUAUCAACCGAAUCGUGUGUCCAAUAAGUAGAAGAACCAUGAUGCCAAGCCAUAUCAAAACUUAUAAUCCUGACCAUUUUUAGAUAAGUAAUGCAACUUGAAAUCCAAGUGAUCACCAUCAAAAGCCACAUAAAUAUUCUCCUCUUUACAUUAAAAUCAAAAAUUAAAAUAAAAAGAGGAAAGUAAAAUUGGUCUUCUUCCCCAUCCUACCCCAAAUCUACCCCAUCAAACAAAAAAUCCUAACACAAAAUAAACCAAACCAAAAUCAUUUUACUCGUCUCUCACUAUCGUCGUCAAAAUAAAUUGUCGACGGAUGUCGACACCAACACCCACACGUGCACCACAAUUGGAAUGUUACCAAAGGUUGUAGGGAUCAAAUUAAGACUCGAUUGAUGCCAAUUGGUUGAUUUAAUGUUGUGUCAAACAAGAAUUGAUGAGGGGAGAUUCGAGUUCGCGGUUGUCAGUUCUAUUAGAUCAACCUAGAACGAAAUGGUGCAUUAUGGGUUAAUUUUAGGCCAAAAUCUUGAUUGUCUGGAUGAGAGCUACCUUUCGGUGGUGGUACACAACUAUGGGUGUUGCCCGAGAUGGGUUUUUAGGUAUACUUUUAGCCAAUUUUUAUUAUUUAUCGGAAAAUGAAUAUGAGUGCUGGCGAUUACAAUUGCGGUGCAUGUGCAGGUGUUGGUGUGGACAUCCGUCAGCAAUUUUAUUUUGGCGACAAUGGUGAGAGACGAGUAAAAUGAUUUUGGUUUGGUUGAUUUUGGGUUAGGAUUUGUUGUGAGAUGGGGUGGAUUUGGGUUGGGUUAAGAAAGAAGAUUAAUUUAUUUUCCCUUUUUUUAUUUUUUAUUUUAGCGUAAAGUUACCAUUUUGUCCAUUUAAAAAUUGUUAAAAUGUGGUUAAAAAUAUUUUUUGGUCAACUAAUGGAAUUUUGAAUAAAAAGCGGCUAAACAUUUUUUAGCUUUCAUACCAUCUUGAUUAUCAACCGAAUCAUAUGUCCAAUGAGUAGGAGAACCAUGAUGCCAAGCCAUAUCAAAACUGAUAACCCUAACCAUUUUCCUCUCGCUCUGUCCCUAGUGCUAAUAUAGAUAUUGGGAAGAGGUGAGUCAAUGCAACUGCUGUAAUUGCAAUCCAAGUGAUCACCAUCAAAAUCCACAUAAAUAUUCUCCUCCUUAAAGGUAAACCACUCAUUAACAAUAAUGUGAUACUAAGUGAUGCAAUGAGUCCAGUUGUAUUAGCAGUCAAGAACUGCCCAUAACCUAUCGGAUAAUUGUAAGCGAAAGUGGAUACUUUGGCCUUGUGAGUAUCAGAUAUUGAUACAGGAUAAUCGUGUGAGACAAACAUAUAAUUAUCCUACCAUAGUCCACUUGGGGGUUGACUCCAGCCUGAAAUGCCAUUAUUGCAAUCAAAGAAGCCAACUACUAUUAAUACACUUUGUUUUUCUCCAACUAAUCAUCUUUCUAUUCGAACAUACAUUUUCUACUUUUCCUUUUCAUGUUUGGGGAUAGGUCUAGGUGUUCAAAGGAAAAAUUCAAGCUUGGACAAGUUAUAUUAUGAUUAAUUUUGACUAAUGAAUUGUUUUCCGUUGACCCAAAUGCUCCAGGACGUUUAGGAGAUUCUUCAAUUUCUUCAUCACUCACAUGUGUUCAACUACGGAUUGGAACAUUGAUUGCUGUCAAACUACAAAGAUUCUAUGCAUUAAAUUUUGUUGCAAACUCCAUAAGUCAAAAGUUAACCGUCUGUAGAUAUUUCAAAAUUGGGAUAAUUGCAAAAGAAGCCUCAAACCUUUGAAACUUUAGCAAACUUUCUCCCAAACCUUUGAUUUAUUGUAGUAGUCACCUCCUAACUUUCCCAAAUGUUGCAUCUGAGGCCCUUUUGGAUGAUUUUUAUCUAAUUCCGUCAAUUGACCAAAAAAAAUGAUUUUGACAAGAGUUUAAAAAUUUUUAUGGAGAAAAUGGUAACUUUACAUUAAAAUCAAAAGUUAAGAAAAAGGGAAAAAUAAAAUUGGUCUUUUUCCCUACCCAUCCCAUUCAAAACAAAUCCUAACACAAAAUCACCCAAACCAAAAUCAUUUUACUCAUCUCUUACCGUCGCCGCCAAAAUUAAUUGUCGACGGAUGUCGACACCAACACCCACACAUGCACCGAAAUUGGAAUGUUACCAAAGGUCGUAGGGAUCUGAUUAACUCGACUGACGCCACUGGUUGAUUCAAUGUCAUAUUAAACAAGAAUUGAUGAAGGGAGAUUUAAGUUCGCGACUGUCAGAUAUGUUAGAUCAACCUCUGAACGAAAUGGUACAUUACUGGUUAAUUUUAGGCCAUAAUCUUGAUUGUUUGGAUGAGAGCCAUCUGUCGGUGUUGGUACGCGACCAUGGGUGUCGCCUGAGGUGGGUUUUUAGGUAGAUUUUUAGCAUAUUUUUAUUAUUUAUUUAUUUAUUGGAAAAAUGACUAUGAGUGCUGGCGGUGGUGGUAAUUACAAUUGUGGUGCAUUUGCGGGUGUUGGUGUUGACAUCCGUCGAUAAUUUAUUUUGGCCCUAAUGGUGAGAGACAAGUAAAAUGAUUUUGGUUUGGUUGAUUUUUUGUUAGGAUUUGUUGUGAUAUGGGGUGGAUUUGGGGUGGGUUAGGGAAGACGACCAAUUCUAUUUUUCCUUUUUUUUAAAUUUUUUAUUUUAGUGUAAAGUUACCAUUUUGCCGAUUUAAAAUGUGGUCAAAAGCAUUUUUUUGGUCAACUAACAUUAUUUUGGAUGAAAACCGGCCAAACAUUUUUUAACUUUCAUACCAUCUUGAUUAUCAACAGAAUCGUGCAUCUAAUGAGUAGGAGAACCAUGAUGCCAAGCCAUAUCAAAACUGAUAACCCUAAUCAUUUUCCUCUCUCUAUCCCUGGUGCUAAUAUAGAUAUUAAGAAGUGAUAAGUCAAUGCAACCGCUGUAAUUACAAACCAAGUGAUCACCAUCAAAAUCCACAUAAAUAUUAUCCUCCAUAAAGGUAAACCACUCAUCAACAAUAAUAUGAUACUAGGUGAUGCAAUGAAUCAUGUUAUAUUAGUAGUCAAGAAUUGUCCAUAACCUGUCGGAUGAUUGCGUGCGAAAGUGGAUUCUCCAGCCUUGUGAGUAUCAGAUAUUGAUACGGGAUAAUCGUAUGAGUCAAACAUAUAAUUCUCCUGGCAUUGUGAGCAUCAGAUACUGAUACGAGUCUAUCAUAUGAAUCAACUGUAUUAUUAUCCUUCCAUACUCCACUUGGGGGUUUAACUCUAACUCGAAAUGCCAUAGUUGUAAUUAAAGAAGCCACUACUAUUAAUGCACUUCAUUUUUUCUCCAACUAAUCAUCUUUCUAUUUGAACAAACUUUUUCUACUUUUCCUUUUCAUGUUUGGGGAAAGGUCUAGGUGUUCAAAGGAAAAAUUGAAGCUUGGAAUAGUUAUAUUGUGAUUAAUUUUGACUAAUGAAUUGUUUUCCAUUGAUCUAAAUACUCCAGCACGUUUAAGAGACUUUUUCAAUUUCUUCAUCACUCACAUGUCUUCGACUACGGAUUAGAACAUCCAUUGCUGUUAUCCCACGAAGAUUCUGAGCAUUAAAUUUUGUUAUAGACUUCAUAAGCCAAAAGUUAACCGUCUGUAGAUAUUUUAAAAUUGGAAUAAUUGCAAUAGAAGCCUCAAACCUUUGAAACUUUAGCAAAUUUUCUCCCAAACCUUUGAUUUAUUGUAGUCGUCACCUCCAAACUUUCCCAAAUGUUGCAUCUGAGGCCCUUUUGGAUGAUUUUUUUUUAUCUAAAAUUCUACCAGUUGACCAAAAAAAUGAUUUUGACAACAUUUUAACAAUUUUCAAGGGACAAAAUGGAAACUGAACAUUAAAAUCAAAACUUAAAAAAAGGGGAAAAUAAAAUUGGACUUCUUCCCUAACCCACCCCAUCUCACAACAAAUCCUAACCCAGAAUCAACCAAACCAAAAUCAUUUUACUCGUCUCUCACCAUCGGCGCUAAUACAAAUUGCCGACGGAUGUCGACAACAAUACCCACACAUGCACCACAAUUGGAAUGUUACCAAAGGUCGUAGGGAUCUAAUUAAGACUCGUAUGAUGCUAAUUGGUGGAUUCAAUGUCAUGUCAAACAAGAAUUGAUGAGGGGAGAUUCGAGUUAACAACUGUCAGAUCUAUUAGAUCAACCUCAGAACAAAAUGGUACAUUAUUGGUUAAUUUUAGUCCAUAAUUUUGAUUGUCUGGAUGAGAGCUACUAGUUGGUGGUGGUACGCUAUCGUGGGCAUCGCCCUAGAUGGGUUUUCAGGUAGAUUUUUAGCCAAUUUUUAUUAUUUAUUGGAAAAGGAAUAUGAGUGUUGGUGGUGGUGGCGGUUACAAUCGUGGUCAUGUGUGGGUGUUGGUAUCGACAUCCGUCGACAAUUUACCUUGGCACCGAUGGUGAGAGACGAGUAAAAUGAUUUUGGUUUGGUUGAUUUUAGGUUAGGAUUUGUUAUGAGAUGGGGUGGAUUUGGGAUGGGUUAGGAAAAAAUACCAAUUUUAUUUUUCCUUUUUAUAAUUUUUCAUUUUAGUGUAAAGUUACAAUUUUGCCCAUUUAAAAAUUGUUAAAAUGUGGUCAAAAACAUUUUUUUGGUCAACUGGCGAUAUUUUGGAUGAAAACCGGCCAAAGGGGCUUCAGAUGCUACGUUCGAAAAGGUUAAGAGUGAUAGCCGCAACAAAUCAAAUGUUUGGGAAUAGUGUGCUAGGGUUUCAAAGGUUUGGUGUUUCUAUUGCAAUUAUCCCAUAAAAACAUUUGGUAUCAUACGCAAUUAGGAAUAAGAAAUAAAAUAAUAUUUAAAUAAAAAUCAUUAUUUAUCUUUUCGGUUCGCUAUAAUGCUGACUCUUCAUGCAAUCGCUCAACUCGUACACCCUCAAAGUCACCACUAUGAAAGUAGGUUAAAUGACUACAAAUUGUAAUCAUUUCUAGUAGCCAAAGUUUUUAAGCAAGAUGACUGAACACGCGCUGGACGUUGUAUACUAUUAAAAAAUUAGCAUAAGAAUAUAUUUGUGUAUUAUACAGACCUUAUCUGAUAAGAAAUAAUUGGAACAAAAUUACAACACAAUCAUACGUUAAAUAUUUACAGUGCAAAUGUUUAAGGCAUUUUUCUAAUCAUAGUAUUGAGCAUGAUCAGAGACUAGAAUAAACAAAAGUACCAUUUAAUACUGCACUCUUCAACUGACUGGACAUAACAUAACAACACCUUAAACAUUGAUAUGACUUAUUCCCGAACCCUUAAUCCUUUUAUCGGGCUCAAACAUCUUUUAACUUUCAUACCAUCUUGAUUAUGAACCGAAUCGUGUGUCCAAUGAGUAGGAGAACCAUGAUGCCAAGCAAUAUCAAAACUGAUAACCCUAACCGUUUUCCUCUCUCUAUCCCCGGUGCUAAUAUAGAUAUUGAGAAGAGAUAAGUCAAUGCAACUGCUGUAAUUACAAUCCAAGUGACCACAAUCAAAAUCCUCAUAAAUAUUCUCCUUCUUAAAGGUAAACCACUCAUCAACAAUAAUAUGAUACUGGGUGAUACAGUGAGUCCUAUUGUAUUAGCAAUCAAGAACUGUCCAUAUCCUAUCGGAUGAUUGUGAGUGAAAGUGGAUUCUCUGGCCUUGUGAGUAUCAGAUACUGAUACGCGAUAACCGUGUGAGUCGAAAUAUAAUAAUCCUACCAUACUCUACUUGGGGGGUUGACUCCAACUUGAAAUGCCAUAGUUACAAUCAAAGAAGCCACUACUAUUAAUGCACUUCGUUUUUUCUCCAACUAAUCAUCUUUCUAUUUGAACAUACUUUUUCUACUUUUCCUUUUCAUGUUUGGGGACAUGUCUAGUAUUCAAUGGAAAAAUUCAAGCUUGGACUAUUUAUAUUGUGAUUAAUUUUGACUAAUGAAUUGUUUUCCGUUUAUCCAAAUGCUCCAGCACGUUUAAGAGAUUCUUCAAUUUUUUCAUCACUCACAUGUCUUCGACUACGGAUCAGAUCAUCCAUUGUUGUUAUCCCACGAAGAGUCUGAGCAUUAAAUUUUGUUACAGACUCCAUAAGCCAAAAGUUAACUGUUUAUAGAUAUUUUCAAAAUUAGGAUCAUUGCAACAGAAGCCCCAAACCUUUGAUUUAUUACAGUCUUUGCCUCCUAACUUUCACAAAUGUUGUAUUUUAGGCCCUUUUGGAUGAUUUUUAUCAAAAAUUCUAUCUGUUGACAAAAAAAAUGCUUUUCAGAACAUUUUAACAAUUUUUAAGAGACAAAAUGGUAACUUUAUAUUAAAAUCAAAAUAAAAAACAAAAGAAUAAUAAAUUUGGUCUUAUACCCUAACCCACCAAAAUCUAUCCCCACCCCUAUAACUGAAAUGGGGAUGCUACUAUUCGUUCACACAAUAAGGGUUCCAAACUUUGAGUCUGAAAUUUGGGCUAUUUCCUGAGCAAUUUAUGAAAUUGGAAUGUUACCAAAGGUCGUAGGGAUCUGAUUAAGACUCGACUGAAGCCUAUUGGUUGAUUCAAUAUCAUGUCAAACAAGAAUUGAUGAGGGUAGAUUCGAGUUCGCGACUGACAAAUCUAUUAUAUCAGCCUUAGAAUGAAAUGGUACAUUAUUGUUUAAUUUUAGGCCAUAAUCUUGAAUGUCUGGAUGAGAGCUACCUGGCGAUGGUGGUGUGCGACCAUGGGCGUUGUCGAAGAUGGGUUUUCAGGUAGAUUUUUAGCCAAUUUUUAUUAUUUAUUUCUUUAUUGGAAAAAUGAAUAUGAGUGCUGGCGGUGGUGGCGGUUAUAAUCAUGGUCAUGUGUGGAUGUUGGUGCUGACAUCCGUCAACAAUUUACCUUGGCGUCGAUGGUGAGAGACGAGUAAAAUGAUUUUAGUUUGGUUGACUUUAGGUUAGGAUUUGUUGUGAGAUGGGGUGCAUUUGGGAUGGGUUAGGAAAAAAUACCAAUUUUAUUUUCCCUUUUUAUAAUUUUUUAUUUUAGUGUAAAGUUACCAUUUUGUCCAUUUAAAAACUGUUAAAAUGUGAUCAAAAACAUUUUUUUGGUCAAUUGAGGAAAUUUUGGAUGAAAACUGGCCAAAAGGGCCUCAGAUGCUACGUUCAAAAAUGUUAAGAGUGAUAGCUACAACAAAUCAAAUGUUUGGGAAUAGUCUGCUGACGUUUCAAAAGUUUGGGGCUUCUACUGCAAUUAUCCCAUAAAAACGUCUUGGUAUCAUACACAAUUAGGAAUAAGAAAUACAAUAAUGUUUAAAUAAAAAUCAUUAUUUAUCUUUUCGGUUCGCUGUAAUGCUGACUCUUCAUGCGAUCGCUCAACUCGUGCACCCUCAAUGUCACCAUUGUCCAUGUAUUAAAAGAAAGCAGGUUAAAUGACUAUAAAUUGUAAUCAUUUCUAGUAGCCAAAGUUUUUAAGCAAGAUGACUGAACACACGUUGAGAUGUUGUAUUCUAUUAAAAAAUUAGCAUAAGAAUAUGUUUAUGUAUUGUACAGACCUUAUCUGAUAAGAAAUAAUUGGAACAAAAUUACAACACAAUUGUACUUUAAAUAUUUACAGUGCAAAUGUUUUAGGCAUUUUUCUAUUCAUAGUAUUGAGCAUGAUCAAACACUAGAAUAAACAAAAGUACCAUUUAAUAUUGUACUCUUCAACUGACUAGACAUAACAUAACAACAGCUUAAACAAUGAUAUGACUUAUUCCCAAACCCUUAAUUCUUUUAUCGAGCUUAGACAUUUUUUUACCUUUCAUACCAUCUUGAUUAUCAACUGAAUAGUGUUUCCAAUGAGUAGGAGAACCAUGAUGCCAAGCAUAUCAAAACUGAUAACCCUAACCGUUUUCCUCUCUCUGUCCUUGGUGCUACUAUAGAUAUUGAGAAGAGAUAAGUCAAUGCAACUACUGUAAUUGCAAUCCAAGUGAUCACCAUCAAAAUCCACAUAAAUAUUCUCCUCCUUAAAGGUAAACCACUCAUCAACAAUAAUAUGAUACUGGGUAAUGCAAUGAGUCCUGGUGUAUUAGCAAUCAAGAAUUGUCCAUAUCAUGUCGGAUGAUUGUGAGCGAAAGUGGAUUCUUCGGCCUUGUGAGUAUCAGAUGCUGAUAUGGGAUUACCGUGUGAGUCAACUGUGUAUUUAUUCUACCAUACUCCACUUGGACAGUUGACUCUAACUUGAAAUGCCAUAGUUGCAAUCAAAGAAGUCAUUACCCUUAGUGCACUUCUUUUUUUCUCCGACCAAUCAUCUUUAUAGGUGUUCAAUGGACAAAUUCUGUCAGUUGACUAAAAAAAUGAUUUUGACAGUACUUUAACAAUUUUUUAGUAUAAAAAUAGUAACUUUACAUUAAAAUCAAAAUAAAAAAAGGAAAAAUAUAAUUGGCCUUCUUCCCUAACCCACCCAAAUCCACCGUCACCCCCACAACUGAAAUGAAGAUGCUGUUGUUCGUUCACACAAGAAGAACGCCAAACUUUAAGUCUGAAAUUGGGAUGAUUUUUCAUUUAGGAACAUGUUUAGGCUGGUUAGUGGCAAGGACAAAAGUGGUCUUUUAAGUACUUAUCAUAUUCUCUUUAAAACCUAGACUUCUCCUAUAUUACCAGCCGACUUCCUCUUUCCAAGAAUGUUAUCUAACUUUUUAGAUCUACUUGAAAAGGUAAGAAGCUGAGAUUUAGAAUGUUCAUAUUACUCAAAAGAUUUUUAACCUGGAUUUCUAAAGUCUCAUUCUCAAAGGUCAACUCACUGACUUUCCUAGAGGACUUCUCAAGCUCAUUAGCGAGAUUUUUAACCAGAGUAUCUGAAGAUUUAUUCAUCCAUUUCAAUUCACUCAGGGUUGAUGUUGAUUCCUGGGUGUACUUCAAAAGCUUAUAUUUCUCCAAUUUAAGCUCAUUUUUACCUUUGAAUUUAAGGCUUUAUUAGUUACAAGAAUCUUAAGACUUUCCUCAUAUAUUUUAUCGUAAGCCUCGUGGAUAUCUUCCUUACUUUUAGAAUCUUCUCCAAAUUGGUCACCACUAUCUAUGUCCUCAUCCGUCUCAAUUUCCCUGUCAGAUCACUCCUAGUCCUAGUGGUAAAUGCAACGUAUUUUCCAUUUUCCUCACGAAUAGAUUCCCACUCUGAUUAUCCGAGCUAGACUCAUCAUCAGUGAGAGUAGUAGUCAUAGUCUUAUCCUGAUUUGUACUUCUGGUAGGGUACCCAUUCCUCAUAUGCCCAAGAUCGUGACACUUGUGACACCUCACAGGUUUAUAUCUAUUCCUAGAUUCACUGGAGCACCUCUAUACUUCUGUGGAAACUUUUUCUUCUUCCUAAACAUUUUAUGAAAUUUUUUAGCAAGGUAGGCUAACUCUCCCUCAUUUGGUGAAUCUGAGUAAGAAAUUCCAUCAUGGUAACCCCAAGAAGUUUUUUUAAGGCCACGAACUUAUCUUUUGUAGGUUUAUCCAAGGUCAGCUCAUAAGUCUGAAGGGAUUCAACUAAUUCUUCCACCUUAAUAGAGUCUAAAUCCUUACUCUCCUAUAUUGUCGUAUCUUUAGGCCUAAAUUGCUUAGGUAAGGAUCUAAGAUUUUUCUAACUAUUUUAGACUCUGAGAUUCUCUUACCUAGAUUGAAGCUAGAUUUACCAUGUCAUUUAGGCUCACAUAAAAGACCUUAAAGUUCUCAUCAUCUCUCAUUCUAACCUCCUCAAACCUAAUGGUCAGCAUCUGCAACUUAGAAUUUUUAAUGGCAUGAGUUACCUCAUGUGUAGCCUGUAAUCUGUCCCAAACAUCUUUCACAACCUCACACACAAAUAUUUACCUAAAAUUUUCAGGGAAAAUUGUCAUAAAUAAUGUAUGUAGCGCUUUACUAUUCCAGUUGCACUCAUCUGAGUUAGAUUUUCACCACUUAGCAAUGGAAGUGGGGGUGACAACACCAUUAACAGUGCUAGAGGGAGUAGAUCAACCAUUUUGAAUGCUCAACCAUAAAUGCUUAUCUAUCGACUUAAGGAAAGCUCUCAUCCUAACAUUUCGGUAUGCAUAAUUAUUGCCAUCAAAAUAAGGCGGGACAAAUAAUGAGCUACUCAUUUGGAUAAAUUAAGGCCAGGACAUGUUUUUAGGCUCUAAUACCACUUGAAAAAGCCUCCAGAACGCUAAGUUACCACUUGUGAAAUACUGAAAUGAUCUAGUUUGUCAAAUUACACAUUCUAGAUUGUUUAUUAGUUCGAUGUUACAUGCAGAAUUAACCUAUUAAAAGCAAUAAGUCACUUUUUAAUAGUUUCUAGAUGAUUAAGCAUACAGGUCCAAUUCCCUAUAUUUGAAUACCGCAAUUUAUAGUAUGGAAACAAUAAAUAAUACCAAUAUUGUGGACGAAGAAACUCAACUAGGUAAAAACUCCAGGACCAAGCCAAUUAUAUCCACUAUAGACAAUGAAUGUUACAGUUAGAUGUUGUCUAUCCAACUCAACUAGACUUCUCGAUCUACUUCCUAUAAUCUCGAUAAUACUGCUAUCUCUUUUAGCUUCUCGAUAUUGUACAAUUAUCUCUUCCAAGUGGAUGCCCAUGAAUCAUCAAUUAUUGUUCUUAUUCCCGCACUUAUAGUCCAACCUUCUUCAAUCUUCAGUAGCCUCUAGAUUUCCAAUUGAGAAAGUACUUUCUUGUUGCACAAAAGAAGUGAAUGUUUUGGAUUCAAGGAUUUGAUGUUUUCCCAAAUAUGUGGUUGCAAGAUCUCAAGAAUCAAAGGAUUGAAUCAAAGUUUGAACAAGCUCUUGGAUUACCAAAUGAUUGAAAUGAAAAUGAUAUGCGUAUGAGGCACAAUGAAAAACCACCUUAGAAAAUCGUGAAAGGCUUGGGUAUUUAUAUUUAGGGAUGUUUAAGUAUUAUAGGUCGUAUAAAACUUUUCAAAAUCACAAACUACGGUUGGCCGAAUAAUACUGUCGCUUGAGCGAAGGAGCAUUGCCGCUCGAGUGAAGCAGUAGCAGCAAGUGAGAAAGAGGCAAUAUGUUUUUCUUGCUCGAGCAUUGUCUUUGCAAUAGGCAAGUGAAAAAGCAGUAUGCCUUCUUUCUUGUUCCAAACUCGAUCUCUAACUCUAAGCUACUUUAUCGAACUAUACAUUGUUGCUCCUAACUCCUUGACUUUUACACAUAUUCAAUUACUUUUUUGUUCACAGAAUCACCAAUUACAACAUAAAACUUAACUGAAAGAAAUGAUGAAAAUGGACUUUAAGCCUUAUAUCCAGUGAAUGCUUACAAAUAGCUAUAAAGUCAUGAGGAUGGCAGUCCACAUUUUGAAACUGACAAGAGCACAAUAGUUCUAUAUCAUAACGGAUGUUAAAAUGAUCCUCUUUCACCGAGAUCCCUCUUAGUAAGAUUGAUGAAAAUUUUGAGUCUUCAAAACCUCAUUAUCACUAACAUUAAGUCCAUCUAACUCACUGGAAGGUUUACGCAGAGCCGGUCCUGUGUUUGAUGGGCCCUGAGGCGGAUGAUGAAAAUUAGGCCCACCAGCGACAAAAUUCAAAGGUGUAUUAUGCGACUCAUUGCUAACUUAAAAAAACUAACAUUAAAACAACAACGAAAUAUAUCAUAGAAACGAUUUAUAUUAUAAACCAUCAAACCAAAAAUUUCAAAUAAUUAGUUAAAUACUAUUUGUCUUGCUGUUUUAGAGGCAAAAACAUCAAUCAAAUCUGAAUAACUUAGCUGCUCAACCAUUUCUUUUUCUAUUGAUAACAUAGCCAACCCAUUUAAUCUUUCUUGUGACAUAGUUGAUCGGAGAUAGGUCUUGAUCAACUUCAAUUUGGAGAAACUUCUUUCCGUAGAUGCAACUGUAAUCGGUACAGUUAACAAAAUUUUGUAAGCAAUAUAAGCAUUUGGGAAACAAACAUCCAAUGUCUUCAAAUAGUGUAGCACUUCAAUUGCUCUUGUUGUUUCAUUUGGUAAAUAAAUCUUCAAGACUUGUAACUCCGAACAUAAAUCAUCUCCACUGAUGUCCGAAAGCCCAUUAUGUUCAAGAUAUUUCUCAAGAUUCAUACAAGAUUUCAACAAACUUGAUAAAGUUGCACUCCUUAACCUCUUCAAAUUAAACAAAAAUCCAAAUAUACCAUCAUAUUGUUUGAAUUGCUCAAAUCGAGUCCUCGGAGAAGAUAGAGCUUGAUCAAUUAUAAAAACAAAGUACUCAACUUUAAAUGAUUCUUCUGCUGAUUGCUUCACCUCAUUACUACAGUUUUCAUCAAAUUGCUUUUUUCUUCGAAUUAUGCGUUUUUCUGUAAAUACAGCUUCAAUUUCCAUUUCGUUUGCCUUUUUUGUCGCUUCAUCCAUGGCAAUGGCAAAUCCAGAUUCUCUAUAAUCUUCAAGAAAUGAAACAAGUCCUUGCAAUAGGUCGAUAGCAUGAUCAAUAUCCAUGGAUUCAGUUUGAAGAAAUUUACUCACAAUAUUGACUGCAUGCAACAACCUGUACCAGAUUACCAUGCCAAGCAAGAACUCAAAAUUCUGAAGUUCAUGUGUUGCCAACGACUCGGCUUCACUCUUUACUUUAGGAUCUUCGUUAGUUUCUGCCAAAUCAAGUAAUGCUUCUCUUAUCUGUGCAGUUUGCUCCAUUAUAGACUUCACACUCUCAACAUGACUUUCCCAACGUGUUUGUGACAACGGCUUCACUGUCAACCCUUUUACAUUAUCUUUAAAAAUUUGCCAUCGCUUGGUAGAAGAUGAAAACAAAGUGUAGAUGCGUUGUAUCACUCCAAAGAAGGAUACAGCUUUGGAACAACAAUUCACCAUAUCACAUAACGCUAGAUUUAGACUAUGAGCACCACAUGGAGUAUAGAAAGCUCGGGGAUUUAUUUCAUGUACUCUUCUUUGCACACAUUUGUGCUUCCCACUCAUGUUAGAUCUGUUAUCAUACCCUUGCCCUCUAAUGUCAUUAAUAUCCAAAUCGAGUUUGAUCAAAGCCUUUUGAAGCUCGGUUGUAAGUCCAAGUCCCGUUGUGUCAUCUACCUUCAAAAAUUCAAGCCAAUGUUCUUCAACUAUAGGUAAGUUUGCCGAAUCAUCUACAAAUCGUACUAUUAACAACAUCUGCUCCUCCUGAUUUGCAUCUGGAGUACAAUCAAGUAUAACUGCAAAAUAUUUUGCAUGUUUAAUUUUCUUGACAAUUGAACUUCUCACCUCAUUAGCUAACAACUGUAUCAACUCAUUUUGGAUUUUUUUGCCAAGAUACAUAUAUUGAAUCUCUUUUGCAUUAGCCCGCCGAAGAUGCUCUUUCAUUAUUGGAUCAAAUUCACUAAUCAUUUCAACCAUUUGUAAAAACAGACCAUUGUUCUCAACAUUUAGCCUCUCAUCAUCUCCUCGAAAUGGCAAGGUGUUUUUGGCGAGUCUUUUUACAAUAGCGAUUAUCCUUGUUAAUACAUGCCUCCAAUGUUCUCUUUCUGCAUCGAUCAACAAUCCAACGCUUUUAUCAAUUGUAGUUUUUGUUCGAAACCUAUUUUCCAAUUCAAUCUAGCUAGUCAUGCAACAUAAAUGCUCUUCAUUUCCUUCAUGACUUUUAAUAGAUCGAUGCAAAUUAUGCCAAUCUUUGAAUCCAUCGUUACCAAGUUGGCCAACUCUGGUAACAUUUUUGGGUGUUUUAAAUAACUUGCAACAAAAGCAAAAGAUCAUGUCCAUAGAUAUUGAAUAUACUAGCCAUCUUCUAUCAAUUAUUUGCCCAUUUCGUAGCAAUCGCUUAUAUUGUGAAGAAUCAAAAUGCCUAUUUGUACAAUCUUUGGGAAACGAGAUGUCAUCAACUCUUUUUGGACCCCUUUCAACUAAGUAAUCCCUUGUUCUCUGAUCAAUGAUUUUCCAAUUCCCGGGAUCAUCCAAAUUUAGAGAAAAGCAACCCUCUUCUUCCUUGUCAUCUACUUCAUUAACACAUGCAGGUUUUAUCACCUCUUCUUCCAUAUCAUCUACUACAUUAACGUAGGCAGGUUGACUAACUUCUUCAUCUUUAUCAUCUACUUCAUUAACACACGCAGGUUGAAUCUCUACUUCAUCCUCAUUCAACGUAUUCACAUUGUUGCUUUUAAAGUACUUGCCAAUAUCCCCUGCUUGACUUUGAAUUAAUGAAAUUUCAUUUCGUUUCCUUUUUCUCUUUUGAGUACCAGAUUCAUAUUUAGGAGGCAUGGUGUAUGAGUCUAUAUCUGAUGCCCAAUGAUUAACCUAAAAAAUAAUUACAAAAUAUCUCAAAUCAUCACACAAUUAGAGUUUUCAAUAUAGUUAUUAUGUGCGCUUGUGCAAUUGUUGAUCCUCUAAUAAUCAAUCAUAUAAGCCGACCAGGCCACAAUCAUAUAAGCCGACAAGGCUUCAAACAUUUUUAAUUUCUUCAAUAACAAGUUAAGGUAAGCCAUUGCUUACCUGACAAGUAGAAUUUCGAUGAAACUGCGGAGUUACACCUUCAAGAAUUCCACUGUCACAAGACUCACAACUCCCAACCCUGAAACAAAAAUUUCACAUCAAACGCUAUUACAAAUAUUAACAUGAUCAUCAAAUUACACACUAAUACAAAUAUGAACAUGAUAGAAAUGUUGAUCUCCAUAUUCAAAUAAAUAUUAUCAAUCAUCUCACAAUUAAAGUCAUCGUUCAAUGGUUAAUUGAUUAUUGUCUCCGUUGCUUAAACGUAUAAUGUAUGAAAUCAAUGCAGGCUUCUGGUUUCGUCUGGUUUUCACAUUGUCGUUCGUCUUUUCAUUAAAUUUAACGAAAUAAUUUUUUAUUACAUCACUUUAGAUCACUUACAAAUACUUGUUACCAGAUCGUCUUCAAAUUAAUUAUGCACUUUAAGCUUAAAACUAGAAAAUGGUAUGAACGAGACACACGUUAAUAUAGGCACCACAUUCUAAAUGUAUUUAGAGCUCUUAAUUUUUGCUUAUUAUUGCACUCAUACUCCUAAUAAUUUUUUAUGGCAUUUUUAUCCUUAAACUUUUCAUUAGUUAAUAAAUUAAGUAUUUGAUAACAAUUUAUGUUCUAGAGUUUGUUGAGAUGAUGUAAAAUUACUUGUUUUUUUCAUAAUAUAUUUUCUUAAAAAUAAGUAAAAAAUGUUUAAAAAAAAUAUUAUUCCCCCAUCUUAAAAUAUCAAAAUAAAAUAUUUUGAUAUAGGUCAUCAUAAAUGAUGAGACAUACAGAUUAAUAAUAGGUUAAAGAAAGAUUUCAAAGAAAAAUUCGAGAAAAUAAUUAUUACAAUGAAGGAGUUUAAUUAAAAUUAAAAUAUAUUGAAUCAAAGACGACAAUUUAACCACCCUUAUUAAUAUUUCAUUCUACCUCCCGCUUCUUUUAAUUUUAGAGAUUUAUUUUCUCCUUUUGGCAAUAAUUUUUCUUACAUAUAAAAUGAAACUUCCAUAUUUAACUACUAUUUAUUGCAAAUUUUGAAUCCAAACCAGCCAGCAAUAGUCAAGACUCGUCUGUCUUGUGUCCUAGGAAAAAGACUCAUAAAAAAUACCCCAUCUUUCUCCCUCUACAGUUAGAAAGAGAAGAAAAAAGAAAAGUUCAAUGGCAUCGAUGGACUGUUUUUCAUCCAAAAAUACCAGUAAUGGAGUCUAGCGGAAAAACCCACGUGGGAAAAAGCAAGAAAAAUCCACAUUGAAAAAUCUAGAAUGACAGUAUCUUUCUAGUUUGACAAUGCUUAGAUAUCUGUCCAAUAAAUGCUUCUAGUUGCACAACCAUCUUUUUUAUUUUCAGAAUCCCCUAUACACUACAUUAAGUGACGGAAACUCGGCAAGGCUGACCUAGUACUGUAGGUAACUCAUCUCUGCUACAUGACCUAAAUUAUGCAAGAAUGUUAAGUGUUAACCAAUCAACUUCAGUUAACAUAGUGUUCUAUGUCGGUAAGCUUAACUUGUAGUUCAUUCCAAAUAAGCAGUUGACUGAGGGCAAUAUGGAAAAAUAGGAAAGGUAAUACUGAUACAAUCACCUGCCAAAGAGAAGAGAACAGCCGGCUUCGUGAAACCAAUCGAGAAAUUCAAAGGAUUUGGGGGGUUUUGGAGUGAAGUUUCAACAGAAAUCGAUUUGGGGAUUUUUUUUUUUUUUUAUUUCAGGGAUUUGGGGGUUUUAAUUAAAUUGGGAAAAGAUAAAACCCUACACUACAUGAAAGAUCAAUAAUCGCCUAGUCGCUGCCCCGCUGGUCCAGUUGGAGUUGAAGUGUUGGAAGUCGGAGGCCGGCGUCGUACUGGUCGUCCGGUCGUAGGCGGAGCAGUGACUCGGAUUGCAGGAGGGAAAGGGAUGAAAAUAAUGUUUCCUUUUCGACUUUCACUUCAUUAAUUUAAAAAAAAAUGAGGCCCCCAUCCGGUUUGGGCCUGAGGCGGAGGCCUCAUGGGCCUCGCCACAGGACCGGCCCUGGGUUUACGUCACGUACCUCAACCCUAAGUUAGGAACUACUCUUAGACAUAAAAAGUUUUGGGUUAACUCCAGUUCUAGGUAAUCACAACCAUUGAAUAUUACGGAGCAACUGAGGCGAGAUUGCGAAUGGUCAACACGAGCAUUAAAUCCAUGUAGGCCAUCAACCUAGAAAUGCACAAAUAGGCUCAGUAGUGCAUGCAAAAAACUGAUAUAAUCAUGGUGUAUCCCCUCAACAUAGCAUACGUUAGCCGCAACAAAUAAUGAGAAAUAUCUCAAAUAAUAUCAUAUGUAAAUUUCCAGCUCAAUAAUAAAAUAAAACACAAUAAGUUCUAGAUUUAAUAUGAAUAAUAAAAUUGAAAAUGUGGACUAUCUUUAGGCAAAGUCUAAGAGUACAAGGACAAUAAAAUUGUAAAAGGUUCGCAAUGGAAAUAGGGCAAGCUAUCCCCUUCAUGGUGGCAAAAGUCAUUAUUUAAAUACAUAUGGAUAAAUCUAGAAAGCAUAACUUCUAAACCAAUGAAUAACAUGUGAAUAGAUAAUAAAAUUAGUUACCAAUCUACCACUAGAUGUUCAUCACCUAUCAUUGUUGUCGAUUUUAACCCACAAGUGGAUGGAUCGUAACAAGUAGUAAAUUUGACCUUUUGAGUCCGGAUUAUCGUUCCUACGAGAACUAUACUUUUAAUGCUCAAUUUAUUAUUCCUAACUUAUAUUUGACGAAAAUAAAUAAAAAUAAUGAUUGGAUUUGAUUUAAAUCUACCUAACAAAAUUUAAUGCACACAAUAAACGUUGAGAAUUCAAAUAAUAAAUGGAUAUUUUGGGGAAACAAAUUCACCUAUUGGUCACCUUUACUUCUAAUAUCGAGAUUCAUAAAAUUAAAGUAGUGUUCAGUCGAAUUCUUCUAUGGUAUUCAAUUUACCCCUCUCAAGUUCUCAUUGAGUCUAUUUAAAUAAUUCAAUUUCAUAUCUCUAUGCGAAUCAACAUUAUUUAAAUGAAAUAAUAGUUCUAAGAAUUCCUAUAGGACCACAACAAUUAAUAUAAGUAUCUCUACUCUUUAUAUUAACUUACCGGAUUUUAAUAUGUGGUCAAAACAAGAAUCUGCAUAUCUACAAAAUUAUUGUUCACGAAAUCAUUGAAUAAUUGGCCAAAAAAUUCAAAGCAUUAAUAACAUAAUUAAAAUUCACACAUAAAAUAUAAAAGAACGAGAAUCUCAAAUAAAAGAAAUAAAGAUUUUCAAAUCAGAUACAUUGUUCGCCCUAAAACUAAAUUUAACUACGCAUGUUAAUGGAGGAAAAAGAGAAAUUAUGGAAGACAUCACUGAAAAUUGACGGAACGUGAAUAAUUUGCAAAAGUAAAUAUGCUGAUUUUCUACGUGUUGCCGUCUCUUUCCUCUCCGUGUGCUUCUUCUUUUUUUCAGUUUUUCGGCAACUCUAGACUUCUGCGUAAUCCACCCUUUUAAUUCCCAGUCUUACGUGUAUAUGUAGUCUUGGCAGCCGGAAUGUUUGACUCCAAAAAGGAGUCCAAUUUCUCUUCUUUUCUACCCUACAACAGCCGCCAAUCUCCAAUAUUCAGCAACAGGAAAUCUAUGAAAAUUAUAAUAUUUGCUGCCCUCAAUUUCCCUGUCUUCGGCCCCAAAGGAAGCUGCCAAUAUUCAGCAAAUUGCACACCCUUAAAUAUGUGGGUAAAUUAUAUAAUAAGGCCCCCCCUCAAUUUCCAUGCAUCUCUAUGUAUUCUGGUAGCCUAAAUUGUGUGGAAAAUAUAUUAAAUUGGCUGCCCCCAAAUUCUUCUCUCUUGUACGUAUAUAUCUCUCUACAAAAUAAUAACCUAGCAGCCACCAAUGUUAACUAACAAAAGGAACUUUUGUCUUCGUGGGUCAAGAAGUCCAAUUAGCCACCAACUGCUAAAAAGAAACCCAAUUCAAAGCCAUUUUUUGUGUCCCUGCCGUGUGAUAUAUAUAAAUCUAAUGGGCCACCCCUUGAGUUGUUAAGCCCCAUAGGAUGUGUAUUUCAAUUGCCAUUCAAUUUUCAACCCAAGUAGAAGUCAAGCUGAGGCCCAUUAUAGUGGUGUUUGCUUUCACGUUUUCAAUUUUCAUUCGAUGGCCAAUUUAGUACCCCAUACUUUGGAUUUUGUCAUUUUUUCCCCGUUCUUGCUUCUUUCCUUCAAUUCUUUUUCAUUCAUAAAAUUUCACCUAUUAAACAUGAAAUACAAAAACUUAGAAUAUAAUUUGUCAAAAGAACCAUCAAAUACCGCUAUUUUCUAAAAUAAUUCAAAGUUCGCAAAAAAAUCUAUAAAUAUGCCCACCUAAGGGAUGCAAGAGAAAGAAGAAAAGAGAUCUCCCUCCUAAAUAGUUAUUUCUCUUCUUGUUCUUAUUUGAUCAUCGAAUUCAGAUAGUUUAGGAGGAAAUACUUGCUAUGAGAUAAAAAUUUGUUGAUUGUAAUUUUAUGGUCAACACCCAUCAAUUCCUAUCACACAAGUUUAUGUAUUCUAAUGAAUUGGUUGUUCAAUAUAAGAAUUACAUAUUAUUUCAAUUAUGUAAAUUGCAUGAUUAUAUUAAAUAAGUAUUCCUGUGCACAUAUCCGCCUAUCAAUUCCAAUAGGGAAACUGCCACAUUUUUGUUAAUUAUUGUUAUGUAUAGAUUUUAAUCACUAAACUGUGCAUAUUCAAUUUGAUAAUUUCUCAUAGCGUAAAAUAUAUUAUUUAUUGUAUUUGAUUAGUAUGUUAAAUUUCUUGUUGCUCCAUACGAAGUACAACAUUUGAAACGACCCGUCCCGAAUCACUCUAAUGGGCCCGACACAUGUCAUGCGCCGAUGGAAAAUACUAGCUAAGUGCUGGACCCACCACAAAGGCGAUCUUGACCUGCAUUAACUGUGACAAAUUUUUAAAAGAAUUUUGACAGAGUUUUCUUUGAAAUAUGGACUAAAAUGGCCUGAACAAUGCUCAAUUUUCUCAAACACGUACAUAUAAUUUAAAAUAUGGUACACUAGCCCUUCAAAACACAACUAUUCAAAAUAAAGUGCACUGGAAUGAAAUUUACACUUCUAUACAAAUCUAAAGAAUCCAAGUGCCCAACAUAUACAAAAAUGCAGCAAACCCAUGAUAUCGAUAUAUUUUUCGACAAGAGAUGCAUAUAUUCCAAUACAUGAACUAUAUAAACUAACAAAACGAGCCAUACAACUAAUGAUAAUUGUGGCUCAACUUGCCAGAUUAACAGGCUCCAACGCUACUCAACUCAGCUAUUAUAUGAUAAGAAAAUGGACAAAAUAUAUGAGUUUGUAACUCAGUGAAUGGAUAUUUUACAAUAUAUAUAUAUAUAUAUAUAUAUAUAUAUAUGUCUAAAAUUUGAUAAUACUUUUAAGAUUAAAACUUAAUGGAAUAAUAAAAUUCUUUACUCUUUGUUCUGAAUAAACCACUAUAGUGUAUAAAGGAUAUAAUAAAUACAACAUCUAUACUGUGAGUGAAAAUAUCCUUUUUACAGUACUAUAAGUUGAAAUCUUUAUUAUGUAAACUGAAUAAACUUAAUUCUGUAGUAAAAAAUCGGAUAAGCUGUAAAAUACUGAAAAAUCACAAGUACAGACUAAGGUAUAGCCUAGGUAAAUACAUUUACACCAAUGCAGAGUGGGUAAAAUGACAUGGGUACUUUCUGGUGGUUUUAAAAAUUAACUUUAGAUGUGUUGAAAUUUUGUAAUAUUGAUAUAACAUGCUAAUGAAAUGAUUUAACUGAACUGAAUUUAACAUUAAAAAAAAUUAACUAUAAAAUCCACUUCGUUCUAAAUAUUUUGUGGUUAAACCAACUGUAUGAAAUAAUUAAUUUUUUGAUCUAAUAUGAAUUAAAUAAAUACUUAUUUUUGAAAUAUAAGUUUUUAUCCACUCACUAAGUGUAGAUUGAUCGUGACUUCAAUUUUCUCGUCGCUUCCUCACAUUCAAGUACCAAGUAUGACACCUCACACUCGUCCUAAGAAAUCAUAUCUCAUCACUAAGGUGCCUUAAACAUUUUUCCUACCAUUAUAAUUGAUGAUUUACUAAUGAGAACUUGGAGUCUUUUAUUUUCAAUGUAAGGUCAUAAUCCUAAUUAGGGUCACUGAUGACAUAUUCACCUUUGUAUAAGUUAUUUCAAUACCCAAUCCUCAAUAUUUAAUACUUAAUUUGGUUUUCAUACAAUGAAUCCAAGAAAAUCAAAAUAUUACUAAAAACAACACUAUAUUUCCAGAUUAUUGAAAUGUGGCACCAUAUUCUGUAUACUGAAAAGUGAAAAGUGUCAUCGAAACCAUUAACUAAAAUAGCAUUUUCUAGGUAGAAUUUUUAGAAAUAGCACCAGUGUAUUACCUUGCUCGAAAAUAGCCUAAAAUUUAUUAAAUAAUAGAGAAAUUAAAUCUCAAAUCCUUAAUCAAGUGAUUGAUAUCAUAUAACUACAACAAUUUUAAAGAUUGAAGCUAUAAUUUACAAACCCCUUUCAUAUUCUUUGAUUUCAACAUGAAUCUCCCAAUAAACAUUUCCUUUUGCAAUAAUAUUUUUAAAUACCUCAAAUAUAUCUCAACAACCUUUAACUUUUGCUAACAUUCGAACAAAUGAAAUUGUUCGCAAUCUCUAAAAUCAAUUAUCAUCUCUUAAUAAGUAAAUAUUUUGCUUAACUUCACAAAGAAAUUGGAGAACAAAUAACCCAGACAUGAAAAUCUACUUUGCUCCUCCUUUCCUCUUUCUUUUCCUCUUCUUUACUUUCUCUUUUUCUUCCUUCUUUCCCAGUUUUUCGUUCUUUCUCUUUGCCCGUUUCUACCCUCAGUUUCCUCUAUGUGUAUAUAUCAAUGAAAAAUGAAAACAAUGGUUAAACAUGUGCCACUGUAUACCACUAUGCCAAGAAUUGUAAAUGAAGUCCCGCAUCUCUCAUGUAAUAAAACAUUAAAUCCUUAACUUCCAAUAUUAGAAAAAUAAAUUCCAACUUUAAAUUUUAUCCUUCUUAAACCCUCAAAAUAUUUUUCAUAAUGAAAAAAGCCCCAAUAAAAUGAUUUACUUCAAUUUUAGUCCAUAUUUGAUUUUGACUUUGACAAGGCAACUUUUAAUUUUUGACUGACUAGGAUGAGUUGUAACAACGAUAUAUUAUUCUUAAGGAAUAUUACCUACUCAUUAUAAUGUCAAUAUUUCAAAAUAAUAUUGAUAUUGCUCUAAAAGAAACAUGCUUUUUUUUAUCAAAUUAAUAUUCUUAAAUAUAGCACAAAUAUUUGAUGAUAUUUAUGCUUUUGAAGAAAUAUAAUUAAAAUUAUAUUUACCUUAAACGAAUAUAGUGCUGAUGUUUUCGAAUAAAUACGACCUACAUUAUAUCAAUAUUUCAAAAGAACAUUAUUUAAAUACUUCAGAAUAUUCAAUGCUGCAUUAUGUGGGAAAAUAGAAUUUUAUUAUAUUCUAUUAAAUUAUAUAGAAAUACAUAAAGUUUCUAAAAUAUGUGUCAUGAUUGAUAUUAUACACAUAUUGGUACAAUUGAAAAUUUCAAACACUGUACGGACUCGAAAUUUAAUUAUUAAAUAUAUUAUUUUUUGGCAUGACCAGUUGGACCAUCACAUGAUCAAUAAUAAUGCAAAAUGUAGAAUUGAAAUGGACAUUUAACAAAUAAUCAGAAGAUUCUUAAAUCCAAAGAACUCUUAUAUGAUUUUUAUUCUCUUUAUAUUUUUUAAAAUUAAUUAGGUAAUAUAUAGAGUCAGUCACCAUCUAUGUUGACUAUCUAGAUAUUAUUUUUAUCUAAUAGACGUGAUAUGUCUACUAGAUGAUUGUAUGGUGUUUGAAACCUGAAGUUGAGAAAUUAUUACUCAAGUUUUAAAUUAUAAGUAUAAUUUUUAGAUUAUACAAUUAAUAUAGUGUGUCUUUUUAAUACUAGAGAGCCUAUAUCUUAACUUUUUAAUAAGUGUUUGUUGGGAUGACAUAAAUAGUUUAACACUACUACUUGCUAAACACGUUCAAUUGAUUUAUAAAUCAUUAAUGUUGAGAACAAAGUGCUUUAUCCAACUAGAAUUGACGUCCUGAAAGGAAAAUUCAUUAAUAUUAUAUUUGAUAUAUUUAUGACACGCCUCAAGGGUGAAUACAUUCUUUCAAUUCUAAGAAAAAAAUCUUAGAAAAUGGAGCAAAUAAGGAAUAUAAUCCCAUUUAGGAGGAAUAUACUCUUGGAGAACAUAUAGUCAUAACUAACCUAACCUCCUGAAUGCAUCAUUGUAACAAAUGUCAAAAAAUAAUUAAAAAGCAAUAAAUGGGGAAGUACUUCUUCCGAUACAAAGAAAAUAAACGCAAAUGAAAAUUAGUCUGUAAAUCUCUAAGGCUAGGCAAUCCAUGUCUGCCAAUAUGAACAAAUGACCUACCCUGUCGAGUUAGGUCGAUUGGUCCAUACUCCUUAUAGUAGCUCUAAUCCCAAUGCUCUAAAGCAAGAGAGUCUGCCACUUGAUUUCCCUCUAUAUAGAUGUGGAAAAUCAUAUUUUUUUGUCGAAUGAAAUAAUGCCUCUGAUUUGUCUAAGAAUGCUUUGAAUUGUCUAUGGUCUUCCACCUAUGGUGAUGCAGUAAAUAGCCAUAGUCGAAUUUGUCUCAACCCAAAUAGCUAAAAUCAUUGUUUUAAAAAUUGGACCGAACAUUGACCCAGAAGAGAGAUAGAUCGAGAUUAAACCGAACAUUUUAUAGGAAUCUUACUUAUUUUUCCACAUUCGGUUACCAAGCUUCAAGCGAGUCAAUUGUCGGACCGGUUCAUAGGUUUCCCGAUUGAACUGAAGAGUCCGAUCCAAUUUUGAAAACAAUUGCUAAAAUAUCAAGUCGUCUGGCCAGUAGAAUUCCAUCUAGUAUAGCUCUGAGCUUGACCUCCCAAAUCAAAUAUGGGUCAUAUGAUGUGAAAAUUCCCUAAUUUCUUAAUAAUAUCCGCCCGACUCACAAAUUCAUCCUUAACGCAUAUAUCCAUGUUCAUAGGAUCACACUGGUAGAGUGCACUAUACAACCAAAACAUGUGAUGAUGGGAGAGGGAAAGUCAUAGAAAUAUCGAAGAGAGAUAAAAGACUCAAAUUCCAUUGCUAAUGCAAAGCUAUAAACAAUCCUCUCGUGUGAAGAAAAGAGAUCAUGCGAUGGACUCUCAGAGGAUACAUUUGGGUACCAUACGGAUCUCCCUAUGGUUUACGUCAUUCAUAUCAAUCCAUAUAAACCAGAAUAUCAAUAGAGGAAUAAUAACACAAAUUUGUCUACCUCGUAAAUACUAUUGAAAAUAAUGUUAUCUCUGAAAUCUCUAUCUCACGCUCUUUUGUAACGACAUAAGUACUUGGAAAUUACGCCCAAAAUGAUGCCAUACCUAGUCGAAAAUUAUGCUGCCUUUGAAAAUGUGACUGAUAGUCUCAGUCUUGGAAGGAAGAUGACCUCGAGAGUCCAAAUGACAUCUAGUGCGCCUCUAUAUAAUAAUAUCUAUUGGAAUUAGAUCCUGCCAUAGACUCAAGUAGAAGAAUGAGACUAUGGUAGGAAGAGUGGAGUUCCAUAGUAAGUGAAAUGGAUCCUAAGGCUAUCUACCAAUUGGACUAUAUACUAUGUUGAUUUGGUAACUUUUGCUACCAUCUAAUGUGUCCCAAUAAACAAUGUGCCCUAGGGCCUCUACACAUAAAGGAAUAGCUCCUAUCUGGUCUCCCAUGAAGGGUGAAAGAGUCUGUGAUGAUUGUCCAAAAUCCGACCCAGUGCUAUAAAAGAAGUCCAGCACCCUCGUGGAUGUGUGUUGCCUGUGUGGAAAUAAGGACACCAAUGUAGUAUCCUAUCAAACAAUUACACCAAAAGAAUAUCUGACCGGCUCUGAGAUAAAAAGCACUGUGUGGUUCCACAUAUGGCUCAAUUAACUUUAGACUCUUUCAGAUAAGAGAAGAUGAACGGAAAACUACAGCAAGUGAUUGAUUUGUCCUAAAACAAUAUUUUCCCUGUAACAAUUUAAGCCCAAAAAUAUCUCUGACACUGAAACAACCACUUUCAGGCCUUCUCGGGAGCUGGGAGUUUUAUUUUUUUCGCCGUUUUCUGAUUGAUUUCAAAUGGCAUAAUUAUGAAGGGUAAAGGAAAAAUGAUGCUUGCUAAUUUUUUUUGGGCAUCAUUUUUGGAUAAUUGAAAAAAUCAUUUAAAAUGAGCAUAUUAUUAUUUUGACCAUUUCUCUCAAUCUACCAAUCCGUGGAUUUUGAUCAUUUCUCAUAUUCUCUUCUAAUUUGAACCUUUAUAAAAUAAUUUCUUUCAACUAGCAUAUAUUGUUAAAACUAAUUUGUAAAUAAAAAUAUAUUAACUAAGAAAAAAAUUUUAUAACCAAAAAAUUAUUUUAUAAUUCAAAAAUUUACUUAUAAUAAAAAUAUAAUAUAAAAUAAAAAUUACUUUUUUGUAAAAAUUUAUUCCAGAAGUAAAAAAAAAAAAAAAAAAAAAAAAAAAAAAACCUGUUAAUAAGACAAAAAUUGGCUUACAAUAUUAAAAGAAGAAAAAAAGUUACUUAUAUGCAAAAAAUUUACUUAUAUGUAAAAAUUAUUAAAAUUUCAAUAUUAACUUAUAAUUAUAAAAUUUACUUAUAAGAAAAAAGACUAACUUAAAUUUUUUAGUAAAUAUGUAAAUUUUUUUAGUUAAAUAUAAAAUUUUAUGUAAAAAAUUUACUUACAAAUAAAAUAUCACUUAUGAAUUAAAAAAAAAAAUCAUAAAAAAUCAUAAACUGAAAAUUUCACUAAAGAUCAUAUAUUUAAAUUUAUUCGUUUAAAAAAUGUACAAAAACAAUGUAUACUAAACUCUCAAGUGUGGUUGGAAUCUUUUAAAAUCCCUAGUAAAAUAACUCAAAAAUCAAUCCGCUCAUAGACAGGUUUCAUCUUUUAAGCACCGAUACUUAGUUUAUGCUAUUUGCAAGGUGACGUGGUACACUACAAAAGGUGGUGUAAUCAAUUUUUUAAUCAACCAUUUUCUCCCACUACUUAUUGUAGUGAACUAUGUCAUCCAAGUGCUCAGCAUAAGCUAAGUACCGAUACUUAGAAGAUCAAUCAUGUGUUCAUUAAAUGCUCAAAGUUGAUAUUUUUUAGAAGGCUCAUAACGAUACCCAAAACAUCCAAGUAGGCCCUUUGUUACUUUAACACCAUGCACUACCCUCUAUACUAAUAUGGUCACUUUUAAGACAAGCUGAAUUUUUUGUUUCUUCCUAUAUACUUAAGUUUUUAGUUGAUUUGAUCCAAAAUUAGCUCAUUGAGGAUAUAUGUGUUAAGGAUAAGGGACCGCUCUUGCUAUCUAAUCUACUAAGGGCUCGUUUGACGUAAAUUUUGCUUUUUGUACAAGAGUUUUUGGAGAAAGUUGAGUUUUACUUCGAUACUAAUUUUUAAAAGCACUUCGUAUCUCGAAAGUGUUUUGAGAGGAAGUCAUACUGCAUCAGUUUCCUUUAAAAACCUUUCUAACUAAAAGAAAAAUUGUCAUAAAAUUAGCCAAACAAGUUCAAAAGCAGUUUUUAGAUCUCAAAAACAUAUUUUGACUUUUAUAGAGUCAUAUAAAAUGAGCCCUAAGCUCAUCCAAGAAAAGCUCAUUUUUACCUCAUAUCUCUGCAUUUUCAAUAAAAGCUUAUUGUUCCAUGGUUUCUAUCGUGAACACGUAAUAUUUUGUAUCUAUUAUUUAACAUUUAAUUUAUUAUUUCUAACUCCUAAUGGAUAAAAAAAAUAGAAGUAAUUUGAUUAAUUACCUGAAUUCUCUAUUUUUACUAACUUAACUAAAAGUGCAAGAUCUAAUUAAAUUAGAGUUUUACUUCUAAAUGAGAAUGUUAGGACUCACGAUUUCACCUUGUUAUUACCUUUUAAUUUGCAUAUAAAGAUUCAUUUCUAAUAUGGUAUUCGAUCAAUUUUUUCUUAAUUGAUCAAUUUAUGUAUCUCGAGUUCAAAUUAAUCAUAUCUAAAUAAGCCAAUUUACCUUGCCUCUAUAUGAAUUCAAAUAAACCUCUACCAUUUUAUCCAAAUUUCAAAGUUUUACUACGUGAUCGAAAUCUAUAACUUACAUCCUGGUUUGUUAAAAAUUCACAAAUCAGUUCAAUAAUGGCCAAUUAUCUCAUUGCAUUAAGAACUAUAAGUAAAAUCAACACAUAAAGAAUUAAAAUAAAUAAAUCUUGAAAAUUGAAUUUAAAGGAUCAACUAGAUCAUUACAUCGUUUGCCCUUAUUAUUAAUUUAGCUACUUAUAAUGAUUAAAGGAAAGUGAUUUUGAGAGUAAGUAGAUGAACUAGAUAUUUUAAUUUAUGUAUUUUUAUUAUUAUUUUAGGAAUAAAAACUUGGUAUUGGAUGAGAACGAAUGAAAAUGAAGAAUAAUUAAGAAAAAAAAUUAAAGUUGGACAUAUGUUGCAAAUUGUGGACUGAAGAGUCGCGUUCGAAAGUUGAAGGACCUCAAUUACAAUAUAUAAGUACUCAAUUCGAACAAGAAAGAAGAUAUAUGGACCAAAUUGCAAAAUUAAAAUAUAAAUUCCAACCGUUCGAAAAAUUCUAAUUGGACUAAAAUUAUGAUCCCUGUCCACUUGAGAAGAGCCUAAACCAUGUGAAUCCUUUCCAUUGCUUUAAUAAAAAUAUAUUGAUAUGAUAUGCAAUUAGGAAUAAGAGAUACAAUAAUAUUGAAUAAAAAUCAUUAUUUAUCUUUUCAGUUCACUAUAAUGCUGAGGCUCUGUGCGAUCGCUCAACUCAUGCAUCCUCAAGGUCAUCACUGUCCAUGUAUUAAAAGAAAGUAGGUUAAAUGACUACUAAGUGUAAUUAUUUCUAGUAGCUAAAGUUUAUAAGCAAGAUGACUAAACACUUAGAAAGAAAUUAUAUACUAUUAAAGUAUUAGCAUAAUAUUAUAUUUGUGUAUUACAUAGACCUUAUCUAAUAUGAAAUAAUUGGAACAAAAUUACAACAUAGUCAUACAUUAAAUAUUUAUAGUACAACCGUUUGAGGCGUUUUUCUAUUCAUAGUAUUGAACAUAAUCAGACACUAUAAUAAACAAAAGUGCCAUUUAAUAUUUUACUCUCAUACUUACUAGAUAUAAUACAACAACACCUUAAACACUAAUUUGACUUGUAAUUCCCAAAGCCCGAAUACUUUUUUUGGGUCUCGAACAUUUUAUUAACUUUCAUACCAACUUGAUUAUCAACCGAGUCAUGUGUCCAAUGAGUAGGAGAACCAUGAGGCCAAGCCAUAUCAAAACUGAUAACCAAUCAAAAGUAUAAUUUAUUGGUUUACUCUCUCUGGUGUUAUUACGAAUAUUAAGAAGAGAUAAGGCAAUGCAACUAUUAUAAUUGCAAUCCAAGUGAUCAUCAUCAAAAUCCACAUAAAUAUGCUCCUCCUUAAAGGUAAACCACUCAUCAACAAUAAUAUGAUACUGAGUGAUGCAAUGAGUCCUGUUGUAUUAGUAAUCAAGAAUGUCCAUAUCCUGCCGGAUGAUUAUAAGCAAAAAUGGAUUUUUCGGCCUUGUGAGUAUCAAAU
rnacentral:lncRNA from 1 species